ensembl:snRNA
AUGUUGUAUGAAAGGAGAGAACGUUAAGACUCCCCUUGACUAGGAUGGAAGAGGCCCUCGGGCUUGGAAACACGCAGACAGUUAAGGCAUUGCCACCUGCUUCAUGGCAUCUAACCACUGUUUUUC